UAAAUUCAUAUUUGAUAAAUACUUUAAUAUAUUUGAGAAAAUCUCUGUACAUAUAAACCCUAAUAUUUUCCAUUAAUAUUAGGUUUAAUUUAUAUUUUUUAUUCAAUUUAUAUACGGCGGAGACUACCAUGGCGGUGGAUGGAGGCGGAGGCUUCUCUCACUAUCUAUCUAUCCAUCUAUCUAUCUAUCUCCUCGGCGGACUUAGAGUAAGAGGUACCAAUAGAAGUGUUGAUUGAAAGAAACAUGGUAUACCAAAGAUCAUCCUCUACGUCAAUGGCUCACAAAUUUCUCUGAAGCAAUCCAGUUUGCAGCUUCACUACAGUCUUGUUGUGUAGCCCGGAAGAAUUGCAGCUUUAGCAUCUGAAUGAAGGAGAAGGCUAGUAUACCUUCGCUAUCAAAGUGCAAGAUCAUAUUGCAAGAUUGAAAAGACAGUUGAGCUUGGUAGAUGGCCAGCAUCAACAAUUGAAAGCUGCCUCUGAUCUGUGAAUGUGUAUUAUCAUAAUAUCUACGACCAUCCAUCCAAUUUUACUCUGCAAAGAGCCUUCAUGAAAGUGUUCUUCCCACUUUUCUUCUCCUUUUUCCCUCGUUUUCUGGUUAUCUUUGACAACAUUAGAAUAAAGAAUUACAAAUGCACCAUCUAGAAGAAGAAAAGAUAUUAGGUUCAUUUCUUAGCAGAUUGAUACUGAGUUUAGUCCACUGAAACUUGUGAAACCUUGAUCACAUUUAAUUAUUAGACUUGAUUGUUGUGGUUGUU